UACGGGGGGGGCAAGCGUUGUUCGGAAUUACUGGGCGUAAAGGGCUCGUAGGCGGCCAACUAAGUCGGACGUGAAAUCCCCAGGCUCAACCUGGGAACUGCGUCUGAUACUGGAUGGCUUGAAUUCGGGAGAGGGAUGCAGAAUUCCAGGUGUAGCGGUGAAAUUCGUAGAUAUUGGGAAGAACACCGGUGGCGAAGGCGGCUCACUGGCUCAUUACUGACGCUCAGGCGCGAUAGCGUGGGGAUCAAACAGG
rnacentral:rRNA from 1 species